UUGAUAAAAGAAUUUGUUGUAAAUUAUGCUCCAUUGGUCUUUUUGUGUUUUCUACCCACCUUUACCUCCGUGGCGGUGAGAUAGUGUGAUGUCUUUACUGGGCUGGUGUAGCUCAUUCCUUAUUUAACCAUUUCAGAUCAGGAAGACAUUGUUCCCGAGCCCGUUUCGCAGGAAGACGGCGAAGGGGACGCCUAAAGACUCCGUAGUGAUAUUUACAGUUUUUAUUUUCGACUUUCUCCUUUAAUUAGUUUGUUCUUUUAUACUUUGAGCACGUUUUUGGUUUUAGUGUAAGGGAUGUUAAUCAAAAUUUUUAUUUCGCUUCCGCAUUUGACAUUUUUAAUACACAUAUUUCAUUUUAAAAUUCCGGGGUCGUUAUAACCGAGAAGUGAACCUGGGAUCCCUGUCGGACACUACUAUUACUGGAACCCCA
rnacentral:lncRNA from 1 species